GAUGAAGAACGCAGUGAAAUGCGAUACGUAAUGUGAAUUGCAGAAUUCCGUGAAUCAUCGAAUCUUUGAACGCACAUUGCGCCCCCUGGCAUUCCGGGGGGCAUGCCUGUCCGAGCGUCAUUUCUGCCCUCCAGCCCGGCUGGGUGUUGGGCGCUGUCCCCCCGGGGACACGCCCCAAAGGCAGUGGCGGCGCCGCGUCGGGUCCUCGAGCGUAUGGGGCUUUGUCACCCGCUCGGGACGGACUCGUCGGCGCUGGUCUUCCUCCAGGCGACCCUUCGGGGCUCGUCUUCCUUCGGUUGACCUCGGAUCAGGUAGGGUUACCCGCUGAACUUAAGCAUAUCAAUAAGCGGAGGA
rnacentral:misc_RNA from 1 species